rnacentral:rRNA from 1 species
GGGCCCGCACAAGCGGUGGAGCAUGUGGUUUAAUUCGAUGCAACGCGAAGAACCUUACCUACCCUUGACAUCCUCGGAAUCUGCCGGAGACGGCGGAGUGCCUUCGGGAACCGAGUGACAGGUGCUGCAUGGCUGUCGUCAGCUCGUGUUGUGAAAUGUUGGGUUAAGUCCCGUAACGAGCGCAACCCCUGUCCCUAUUUGCCAGCGAUUCGGUCGGGAACUCUAGGGAGACUGCCGGUGACAAACCGGAGGAAGGUGUGGAUGACGUCAAGUCAUCAUGCCCCUUACAUCCUGGGCUACACACGUACUACAAUGCUACGGACAAAGGGCUGCAAGUUCGCGAGGACAAGCAAAUCCCAUAAACCGUGGCUCAGUUCAGAUCGUAGGCUGCAACUCGCCUACGUGAAGGCGGAAUCGCUAGUAAUCG